AUGAACGCUAGCGGCAGGCUUAACACAUGCAAGUCGAGGGGCAGCACGAGGUAGCAAUACUUUGGUGGCGACCGGCGCACGGGUGCGUAACGCGUAUGCAACCUACCUUUAACAGGGGCAUAACACUGAGAAAUUGGUACUAAUUCCCCAUAACAUUCGAGAAGGCAUCUUCUUGGGUUAAAAACUCCGGUGGUUAAAGAUGGGCAUGCGUUGUAUUAGCUAGUUGGUGAGGUAACGGCUCACCAAGGCAACGAUACAUAGGGGGACUGAGAGGUUAACCCCCCACAUUGGUACUGAGACACGGACCAAACUCCUACGGGAGGCAGCAGUGAGGAAUAUUGGUCAAUGGACGCAAGUCUGAACCAGCCAUGCCGCGUGCAGGAAGACGGCUCUAUGAGUUGUAAACUGCUUUUGUACUAGGGUAAACGCUUCUACGUGUAGGAGCCUGAAAGUAUAGUACGAAUAAGGAUCGGCUAACUCCGUGCCAGCAGCCGCGGUAAUACGGAGGAUCCAAGCGUUAUCCGGAUUUAUUGGGUUUAAAGGGUGCGUAGGCGGUUUGAUAAGUUAGAGGUGAAAUACCGGGGCUCAACUCCGGAACUGCCUCUAAUACUGUUGAACUAGAGAGUAGUUGCGGUAGGCGGAAUGUAUGGUGUAGCGGUGAAAUGCUUAGAGAUCAUACAGAACACCGAUUGCGAAGGCAGCUUACCAAACUAUAUCUGACGUUGAGGCACGAAAGCGUGGGGAGCAAACAGGAUUAGAUACCCUGGUAGUCCACGCAGUAAACGAUGAUAACUCGUUGUCGGCGAUACACAGUCGGUGACUAAGCGAAAGCGAUAAGUUAUCCACCUGGGGAGUACGUUCGCAAGAAUGAAACUCAAAGGAAUUGACGGGGGCCCGCACAAGCGGAGGAACAUGUGGUUUAAUUCGAUGAUACGCGAGGAACCUUACCCGGGCUUGAAUUGCAGGUGCAUGAGUCAGAGAUGAUUCUUUCCUUCGGGACUCCUGUGAAGGUGCUGCAUGGUUGUCGUCAGCUCGUGCCGUGAGGUGUCGGGUUAAGUCCCAUAACGAGCGCAACCCCUACCGUUAGUUGCCAUCAGGUCAAGCUGGGCACUCUGGCGGGACUGCCGGUGUAAGCCGAGAGGAAGGUGGGGAUGACGUCAAAUCAGCACGGCCCUUACGUCCGGGGCUACACACGUGUUACAAUGGUAGGUACAGAGGGCCGCUACCCCGUGAGGGGAUGCCAAUCUCGAAAGCCUAUCUCAGUUCGGAUCGGAGGCUGAAACCCGCCUCCGUGAAGUUGGAUUCGCUAGUAAUCGCGCAUCAGCCAUGGCGCGGUGAAUACGUUCCCGGGCCUUGUACACACCGCCCGUCAAGCCAUGGAAGCUGGGGGUGCCUGAAGUUCGUGACCGCAAGGAGCGACCUAGGGCAAAACCGGUGACUGGGGCU
rnacentral:rRNA from 1 species